rnacentral:rRNA from 1 species
UACGUAGGGUGCGAGCGUUAAUCGGAAUUACUGGGCGUAAAGUGUGCGCAGGCGGCAGAGCAAGUCGAGUGUGAAAGCCCCGGGCUCAACUUGGGAAUUGCGCUCGAAACUACUUUGCUGGAGUGUGGCAGAGGAAGGUGGAAUUCCACGUGUAGCGGUGAAAUGCGUAGAGAUGUGGAGGAACACCAAUGGCGAAGGCAGCCUUCUGGGCCAACACUGACGCUCAUGCACGAAAGCGUGGGGAGCAAACAGG